rnacentral:rRNA from 1 species
GGGUUGUGAGGUUAAGCGACUAAGCGUACACGGUGGAUGCCCUGGCAGUCAGAGGCGAUGAAGGACGUGCUAAUCUGCGAUAAGCGUCGGUAAGGUGAUAUGAACCGUUAUAACCGGCGAUUUCCGAAUGGGGAAACCCAGUGUGAUUUGUCACACUAUCAUUAACUGAAUCCAUAGGUUAAUGAGGCGAACCGGGGGAACUGAAACAUCUAAGUACCCCGAGGAAAAGAAAUCAACCGAGAUUCCCCCAGUAGCGGCGAGCGAACGGGGAGGAGCCCAGAGCCUGAAUCAGUGUGUGUGUUAGUGGAAGCGUCUGGAAAGGCGCGCGAUACAGGGUGACAGCCCCGUACACAAAAAUGCACAUGCUGUGAGCUCGAUGAGUAGGGCGGGACACGUGGUAUCCUGUCUGAAUAUGGGGGGACCAUCCUCCAAGGCUAAAUACUCCUGACUGACCGAUAGUGAACCAGUACCGUGAGGGAAAGGCGAAAAGAACCCCGGCGAGGGGAGUGAAAAAGAACCUGAAACCGUGUACGUACAAGCAGUGGGAGCACGCUUCGGCGUGUGACUGCGUACCUUUUGUAUAAUGGGUCAGCGACUUAUAUUCUGUAGCAAGGUUAACCGAAUAGGGGAGCCGAAGGGAAACCGAGUCUUAACUGGGCGUUAAGUUGCAGGGUAUAGACCCGAAACCCGGUGAUCUAGCCAUGGGCAGGUUGAAGGUUGGGUAACACUAACUGGAGGACCGAACCGACUAAUGUUGAAAAAUUAGCGGAUGACUUGUGGCUGGGGGUGAAAGGCCAAUCAAACCGGGAGAUAGCUGGUUCUCCCCGAAAGCUAUUUAGGUAGCGCCUCGUGAAUUCAUCUCCGGGGGUAGAGCACUGUUUCGGCAAGGGGGUCAUCCCGACUUACCAACCCGAUGCAAACU